CCUACGGGAGACAGCAGUGGGGGAUCUUGCACAAUGGGGGGAACCCUGAUGCAGCGACGCCGCGUGGGUGAAGGAGUGCUUCGGCAUGUAAAGCCCUAUCGGCAGGGAAGAAGCAAGACGGUACCUGACUAAGAAGCCCCGGCUAACUACGUGCCAGCAGCCGCGGUAAUACGUAGGGGGCGAGCGUUAUCCGGAUUCACUGGGUGUAAGGGGAGCGUAGACGGCCAUGCAAGCCAGGGGUGAAAGCCCGGGGCUCAACCCCGGGACUGCCCUUGGAACUGGAUGGCUGGAGUGCGGGAGGGGAAGGCGGAAUUCCUGGUGUAGCGGUGAAAUGCGUAGAGAUCAGGAGGAACACCGGCGGCGAAGGCGGCCUGCUGGACUGCGACUGACGUUGAGGUUCGAAAGCGUGGGGAGCGAACAGGAUUAGAUACCCGGGUAGUC
rnacentral:rRNA from 1 species